UUUGAUUUUAGCCAAGCCGGAGAGUGCUCUGAGCCAAGCUUGUACAUGAGAUGAUAAGUGGGCUUCUUUUGCUGACUUCGGCGGUAGGUUUGAGUUAAUCCGGCGGUGGGUGAGGGAGGCGCCAUUGAACGGUGGCCACACCACGGAAGGCGCGACGCGAAAGCGAGAGGGGGCUCGUCGGUCUGGGCGCGAAGGGGAGAGGGGAAGAGGAGAGAGAGAAGUUUCUGAGCAGACAUGUUUUUUGAAAUUCAGAGGGAAAAGUAGAAGAAAAAAGUAAAAAAAAACGCCGGCUGGGGUUGUAUACUGGGAGUGCUCGGAGUUCCCUUUCACUACUGUGAUACUUACCUUAUUAUAUAAUGCAUUCUUGCACUUCAGUGUCUUUGGACCUUAGUUUUCACUUGGGUUUUGCUAAUAAUUGGAGUUUGAGGCCUUUUAGAAGAUCAAGACUUUGUCUUUCUCAGGAAAGAGGCGUCAUAAAACCAGAAAAUAGGCAUGACAAGGGCACUUUUACAGAAUACAACAAGUUAGGCACCAAGGAUGAUCUUCUAAUUUCCCAUUCUCCUGUAGCCCAGCAAGAUAGCCUACCUCCUUUAGUUAGUGCAUUGAAAGCUUCAGCUGAACAAAAUGUUGCCAGCUUUCACUUCCCUGGGCAUAACAGAGGUCGUGCUGCCCCACCAUCAUUAACUCAAAUAAUUGGUUUAAAACCAUUUUCCCACGAUUUGCCUGAGCUUCCAGAGCUUGACAACCUAUUUUCUCCGGAGGGGCCUAUUUUAGAAGCACAAAGACAAGCAGCCAAACUCUUUGGGUCAUCAGAGACAUGGUUUCUUGUUGGGGGUACGACUUGUGGAAUACAAGCAGCAAUAAUGGCAACUUGUUCUCCUGGAGAAUUUCUAAUUCUUCCUCGGAAUUCCCAUAUAUCUGCUAUAUCUGCCAUGGUAUUAUCUGGUGCACGACCCAAGUACAUCAUUCCUCAGUAUGAUUUUGAAUGGGACAUUGCUGGCGGCGUGACUUCAUCACAUGUGGAGCAAGCAGUCAAGGAACUAGAGAUGGAAGGUCAAAGGGCAGCUGCAGUAUUUAUCACUUCCCCCACAUAUCAUGGUAUAUGUAGCAACUUGACCGAAAUUUCCCAGCUGUGUCAUUCGCAUGGAAUUCCUUUGAUUGUUGAUGAGGCUCAUGGGGCACAUCUUGGAUUUCAUCCCCAGCUUCCCAAUUCAGCCCUUCAGCAAGGAGCUGAUCUUGCAGUACAGUCCACUCACAAAGUUUUAUGCUCUCUCACACAGUCCUCAAUGCUACACAUGUCGGGGAAUAUGGUAGAUAGUGAAAGAAUAUGUAGAUGUCUCCAAACUCUUCAAAGCACUAGCCCUAGUUAUUUGCUUUUGGCAUCAUUAGAUGCUGCUAGAUCUCAAUUAAGUGAAAAUCCAGAUACUAUUUUCAACAGAGCAAUGGAAUUAGCCUUUGAAGCUAAAUACUUGAUAAAGGAAAUACCAGGCAUUUCAGUGCUUGACCUUGCAAGAUUUUCUAACUUUCCAGCCAUUGAUCCUUUGCGACUUACUAUUGGUUUUUGGCAGCUUGGUUUGUCUGGUUAUGAAGCUGAUGAAUUCUUGUGCAGAGAUCAUGGGAUCGUUUGUGAACUUGUUGGGGACCGAUCUAUUACUUUCGCAAUGAACCUUGGAACUAGUAGAGAUGAUAUUCAGAGGCUUAUAUUAGCAAUAGAGCAUCUAGUAGAAAUUACUGCACCGAUUGAUGGAGAAAAAGGGUAUGGGGAGUUUAAUGGUUAUACACCCUUUGGAGAUAUCAAAAUGAGCCUGAUUCCCAGGGAUGCCUUUUUUGCAAGUAAAAAGAAAGUCGGUAUAGGGGAGAGCCUUGGGAAAGUUUGUGGGGAGCUUAUAUGUCCAUAUCCGCCAGGGAUACCAGUUAUGAUUCCUGGUGAGGUUAUUACAGAGAAAGCUUUGGAGUAUCUACUGGAUGUUGGAAGCAAAGGUGCUGUUAUAACUGGAGCCUCUGAUACUUCCCUAUCUUCUAUAUUAGUUUGCAAUGUGUAGUUCAUUACUGUGUUGAAGUGCAUGCUUAAGGUAGUGGCAGGGCACAUGAAGGUGGGAGUACUCUCUGUAGCAUGUAUGCGCAUGCCCGCCACUGAUACUAGCAAUCACCACCACUAUACCUUUUUCCAUUAAAUCUUUGGGAGAGAGCUGGAGAAUGACUUUCCUUUCCCCUUUGAAUAUUGGCCAUGAUUUUUACAGCAUCAUCCAAGGUACUUAACCAGAAAUUAGGUAAAUGAAGUCUGCCAGAAACUGUGUUACAUGAGAGCACUUUUAAGAACUUCUCUUUCUUUUCUUUUCACAUGAUCAAGGUAUUUAAGAGGGGAAUGGUCCUUAAGGGAGGAUAACAUAGUGAUCCCAGAUGCGGUGCACGGGACCGGGGUUUACGCUGCAGGGGUGGGUCUGAAGGGUCCUGCCUUUGCGAGGUUUUCUGACAUAAAAAAAAAAAAAAUAGUGAUCCCAGUACAUUUGUUACCCUCAAGGUACAUAAGGAGGGAAGAAUUACUUCAUUUUCCGUGGAGUAAUGUUAUUAUUUACUUUAGAUUUUGUUAUUAUCAAUCAUAUGUUUUGAUGUGACAUUUUUAUUUGCAUGUCUAUCACUUAAAUAAACAUUUUAAGUGGUUGUUUUACAUUAGCAGCUGUGAUUAGGGAUGUAAAAAUUUAGGAUGAAUUGUGCGA